AGCAGCCACCCUUUCCCCGACCCCAAUCCCUAGCCCCACCCCACUGCCUAGAUUCAUCCCCAAAAACCCAAGCCUCAAUACCACCGCCUCCGCGUCCACCACUGACGAAGAAUUGUAGGCUCUGCGAGAAGAUAAUGGGCGACUGAGAAACUACUGUGGAUUCAAUCAACUUCUUGACGCGAAUCAGAGCUCUAAAGCAGGAAUCUAAAAUCAAUUUCCUUUCAAGGUGGCCACAGGAAGUGAUUUGGAGGCAGCUGAAAUUCUCAU